GGUCUGCCAUUGAUUAUAAUAUUAAAAGGCUGCGGUAUUUUAACUGUACGAAGGUASCMUAWUCAUUUGUCUUUUAAUUGAAGGCUGGUAUGAAUGGUUUGAUGAAAAAUAAACUUUCUCAUUUUAAUUUAAUUGAAUUUAAUUUUUUAGUUAAAAAGCUAAAAUUUUUUUAUAGGACGAGAAGACCCCAUAGAAGUUUACUAAGUUUAUAAUUUUUUAUUUUUUGUUUUUUUAUUAUUUUUUUAGAAUAUUUAGUUUUGUUGGGGUGACAUUAAAAUUUAUUUAACUUUUAUUUUUUUUUUCAUAAGUUUAUGUUUUUUUUGAUCCUGAAUUUUGGAUUUUUAGAUUAACUUACUUUAGGGAUAACAGCGUAAUUUUUUA
rnacentral:rRNA from 1 species